GGAAUAUUGGACAAUGGAGGCAACUCUGAUCCAGCCAUGCCGCGUGCAGGAAGACUGCCCUAUGGGUUGUAAACUGCUUUUAUACAGGAAGAAACAGCUCUACGUGUAGAGCCUUGACGGUACUGUAAGAAUAAGGAUCGGCUAACUCCGUGC
rnacentral:rRNA from 1 species